rnacentral:rRNA from 1 species
GACGAACGCUGGCGGCGUGCUUAACACAUGCAAGUCGAACGGAAAGGCCCUGCUUUUGUGGGGUGCUCGAGUGGCGAACGGGUGAGUAACACGUGAGUAACCUGCCCUUGACUUUGGGAUAACUUCAGGAAACUGGGGCUAAUACCGGAUAGGAGCUCCUGCUGCAUGGUGGGGGUUGGAAAGUUUCGGCGGUUGGGGAUGGACUCGCGGCUUAUCAGCUUGUUGGUGGGGUAGUGGAUUACCAAGGCUUUGACGGGUAGCCGGCCUGAGAGGGUGACCGGCAACAUUGGCCCUGGGAGACGGCCCGGAGGCAUACGGGAGGAAGGAGUGGGGAAUAUUGCACAAUGGGCGGAGGCAUGAUGGAGGAACGCCGCGUGGGGGAUGACGGCUUUUGGGUUGUAAACAGCUUGCGCCUGUGACGAAGCGUGAGGGAGGGUAAUGGGUAAAGAAGCACGGGUAAACUACGU